UCACGUUGAAGUUUCUUAACCUUCCCUUUGAAAACCCUAGCCGCCGCUAUCAUUCCGGCCGUCGCCCCCUCCGUCCAGUAAACUUUGACAAAAUAAAAUACAUAUUUUUUAUGCUCUCUUUCUCCUCUAUAUUUAUAUUAAAGUGUAUUUUAAAAAGGAGCAAUCUUGAAAAUUAGUGGAUGUGCAUUUUUCAACCUUAAACUGUUCACCUAUGAUGAAGCCAUGAACAACUCUCUCUACAGACCAACAACAAAGGAAUCAAAGACAUCAAAAGAAUAAAAAAAAUCAUAUCUAGUUUAAAUCUGUAUUUUUUUGGCAUCUUUGUGAGGUUCACACCAGAGCUCCGCCACAAAAGCUCCACUCCGGUCAACUUUGAACUCAUUAAUAUGACAUUCAUCAUGUAAGCUUAUUGGAUAUUUUUUUUCCCAAUUUGGUGGUGUGGUUUCAUUCUUCUCCUCUCCUGUCAUACAUGCAUCAACAAUAUUAGAGACAAAAACAAAAGAUCAGAUCUAGUAUUUUAGUAGUUUAUGCAUAUGUUUGUAAAUCAAUAUUGGUGUUUGAUCUGCUUAUAUUUUUCAUAAUUUUAUAUCAUAUUAGAUCGUUUUAAUUUUUUUUCAUGUUUAAGAAUUUAUCAAAAAUAAAAUAAAAUCGCAGAACCUUGUGGUUGUAAUUUUUUCCUUUUAGAUUUUAGAUCCUACAAAAGUUUUUGAAAUAAUUAUAUUUUUUUUGUUAUUGACUUGUUUCUUUUUGGAUCUGUUUAUAUUCAUAUUCCUCUUAUUUAAUGUUAAUUGCUCUUUUUUAUUUAAAUUUGUUUACUUUUACUCUUUUUUUUAAUCCAUUUUGAGAUAUUUUUAAAAUAAUUAUUUUAUCUAUCGUUUUCCUUAGUAAAUAAAAUUAACAUUUUCAUGAAUUUUUGUAUAAAUAUUGUUUACUUGUAAUAUGAAUAUUUUUAGAAUAUGUUUGGUUGUUUCAAAAUCUAUGAUUAACUGUAAUUUUAAUUUAAACAGAAAUAAUAAUAUUUCUUAUUUUGUCCUGCAACCUGCACCUCAACUGUGUUGCACCUCUACUGUGCAUUACUACCAUAUUACUACCAUACCUGACUAAUCACAUGUCAUCAAAGAAUAGUUGUAUGCACAUGUCAUCAAAGAACAGCUGUAUGCUCAUUGAGACCCACAAAAUAAAAAAGUUCAUUGCAUCUCAUAUACCAAUGUAACCCAUAUCUCACUUUCAUUCUCCGUUUAUUU
rnacentral:lncRNA from 1 species